UACGUAGGGCGCAAGCGUUGUCCGGAAUUAUUGGGCGUAAAGAGCUCGUAGGCGGUUUGUCGCGUCUGCUGUGAAAUCCCGAGGCUCAACCUCGGGCCUGCAGUGGGUACGGGCAGACUAGAGUGUGGUAGGGGAGACUGGAAUUCCUGGUGUAGCGGUGGAAUGCGCAGAUAUCAGGAGGAACACCAAUGGCGAAGGCAGGUCUCUGGGCCACAACUGACGCUGAGGAGCGAAAGCUAGGGGAGCAAACAGG
rnacentral:rRNA from 1 species